rnacentral:rRNA from 1 species
UACCUGCAGCUCAAGUGGUGACCACUAUUAUUGGGCCUAAAACGUUCGUAGCCGGUUUGGUAAAUGUCUGGGUAAAUCGUGUAGCUUAACUAUACGAAUUCCGGGUAGACUGCCAAACUUGAGACCGGGAGAAGCUAGAGGUACUCCUGGGGUAGAGGUGAAAUUCUGUAAUCCUGGGGGGACCACCAGUGGCGAAGGCGUCUAGCUGGAACGGGUUUGACGGUGAGGAACGAAGCCCUGGGGCGCAAACCGGAUUAGAUACCCGGGUAGUCCAGGGUGUAAACGCUGCUUGCUUGAUGUUAGUUGGGCUCCGAGCCCAAUUAGUGUCGGAGAGAAGUUGUUAAGCAAGCUGCCUGGGGAGUACGAUCGCAAGAUUGAAACUUAAGGAAUUGGCGGGGGAGCACAGCAACGGGUGGAGCGUGCGGUUU